GUGUUAAAACAUAACCAAACACGCCAGGACCUUGGGAAAGAAAUCUGUAUCAGACAUGUGGGCUUCAUUAAGGGAAAUGCCUUCAGAAGAUUAUUUUUCCAUGUUAUGAGAAAAAAUCUGAACAAACAGUGUCUUUGCAUUCUCCGCACCAGCACAGCACCAAGCACCACAAAGGAGCCUGGUUAACGUUUGCAUGGAGAACUGAGGACGGUUCCAGCAUAGAGGUUCAAAGAAAUUCAGAGCACGGAGCAGAUGAUAGUCCUCUCUCAUGUUUCCGGUUGCUAACAGUGGAGAGGAACCUCACUGCUCCCCAGUGACCUGCGAAGCCUCAGCUGAGAUUCCAAGCCUCCACACUUCCUUUCCUCAUUGUUUUCAUUCCCAUUAAAAAGGAACACCAAGGAUUUGUAUCACAGUCUCAAAAUAAAGUCCUAGAGAAAAGGAUUCUGUUUGGAACAGAAAGAACCACACACUUUCUAAUGAAUCAAACCCCUAAAGAAGACUAAAAUGUAAGGUGGGGUAUGUUCCACUCAUUCACAUUCUCAACAGAGUCUUUUAGUAGUGAACAGAACUCCCCUCUUAUAAAGAAACAGUGCGAUUUAUAUCAUAA